rnacentral:rRNA from 1 species
CAGGCCUAACACAUSCARGUCGAGGGGCAUCACGUGAGGCAGCAAUGCAUCUGGKUGGCGACCGGCGAAUGGGUGAGUAACGAGUAUCCAACCUGGCCCAUACUCGGGCACAGCCCCGCGAAAGCGGGAUUAAUGCCCGAUGCGGCGUAUCUCCCGCAUGGGAAUUACGUCAAAGGUAUAAACUGGUAUGGGAUGGGGAUGCGUCCGAUUAGCUAGACGGCGGGGUAACGGCCCACCGUGGCGAUGAUCGGUAGGGGUUCUGAGAGGAAGGUCCCCCACAUUGGAACUGAGACACGGUCCAAACUCCUACGGGAGGCAGCAGUGAGGAAUAUUGGUCAAUGGCCGCAAGGCUGAACCAGCCAAGUAGCGUGAGGGAUGACCGCCCUAUGGGUCGUAAACCUCUUUUGCACGGGAAUAACCGCACCCACGCGUGGGUGCCUGCAUGUACCGUGCGAAUAAGCAUCGGCUAACUCCGUGCCAGCAGCCGCGGUAAUACGGAGGAUGCGAGCGUUAUCCGGAUUUAUUGGGUUUAAAGGGAGCGCAGGCGGCCGUUUAGGCCAGCCGUGAAAUUUCCGCGCUUAACGCGGUCCUUGCGGUUGGAACCGGAUGGCUUGAGUGGGGUACAGGAAGGCGGAAUUCGUGGUGUAGCGGUGAAAUGCUUAGAUAUCACGAAGAACCCCGAUUGCGAAGGCAGCUGACGAGUCCUUUACUGACGCUAAAGCUCGAAGGUGCGGGUAUCGAACAGGAUUAGAUACCCUGGUAGUCCGCACGGUAAACGAUGGAUGCCCGCUGUCGGCGAUACAAUGUCGGCGGCCAAGCGAAAGCGUUAAGCAUCCCACCUGGGGAGUACGCCGGCAACGGUGAAACUCAAAGGAAUUGACGGGGGCCCGCACAAGCGGAGGAACAUGUGGUUUAAUUCGAUGAUACGCGAGGAACCUUACCCGGGCUUGAACUGCAGGAGAAGGAUACAGAGAUGUUGACGCCCUUCGGGGCUCCUGUGGAGGUGCUGCAUGGUUGUCGUCAGCUCGUGCCGUGAGGUGUCGGCUUAAGUGCCAUAACGAGCGCAACCCCUGCCUACAGUUGCCAUCAGGUCAUGCUGGGCACUCUGUGGGGACUGCCACCGCAAGGUGUGAGGAAGGUGGGGAUGACGUCAAAUCAGCACGGCCCUUACGUCCGGGGCUACACACGUGUUACAAUGGGUGGUACAGAGAGUCAGGUGCUGGCAACAUCACCUUAAUCUACAAAGCCAUCCUCAGUUCGGAUUGGGGUCUGCAACCCGACCCCAUGAAGCUGGAUUCGCUAGUAAUCGCGCAUCAGCCAUGGCGCGGUGAAUACGUUCCCGG